GUCGUCGUUGGCUAGUGGCAGGCCCCUCGCGUUCUCUUGAGAAGACACAUCACGGCUUGCGGGCGCUACGGAGGUUCGAUUCCUCCCGACGGUA